UGCCUGCCUGCAGGGCACCACUUUCCCAAGCCUCCCAAUUGCACAGAUCCCAGCGCCCAUGAGCUGUACCACCCUGAACAUACUCCAGCUCAACUGAUCUGCAAAGCCAAGAAGCCUGGGCCUGCUUAGAAUUUAAUGCGAAACAUCCCAGGAGGAGAACCAGAAGAGAAGGAAAAACAUUUACUGCAUGCAAGAAGAAACAGCUGUGGAGGAAACAGAGCAGUGAUCAGGACCCCAUGAAGUCCCCUCUGGGGUGGUAGCACCCAUGUAAGGAGGGGGAGAUGUGACAUCCUGCAGUCAAGGGUCAGCCCCAUCCCUGGAAGUCACAGAGCCUGGAGAGGGUGAAUACAGCAGAGUCGUUCCUGUUGGUCGGAACUAAGAUUUGUGCUAAGAGCCUCAAGAAGCCAGGAGACAUUCUGAGCCUCCACCUGGGUCCCCUGCAACUCUAGGGACUCGGCUAAGAUUGGCAGCAGAGUGUCCAGCCAAGAACAGGACUGCAUUUUAAGGAAGCAGCCAGCUCAAAGGGUCUGCACUAUGGCUGCCUCUCCUUGGAGACCACCCCCAAUCACUCUGAUCUGUAUAUGUCCUGGUUUCUAUGAGGAUGAGAACGAGAAACUCUGGAUGGUUGUAAGUCUGGGCUUUAGAUCCUUUCAUCCAACUGAAAACAGGGCACUGAAGACUUGGGAACACUCCCUGAGCCACCUUAGUGCAAAGCAUCCAGAAACAGUGGCAGUUUCAGUACAAAACUUUUAGCUACUAUGACUGUCACCUUGCAGCAGUUGAUAAGAUGCCACCAGGAGUCCCUGAACCCCAUCCCCUUUACUAUGUCCUGUCUUCCCCAAAUAUGGCAGCAAUAUUCCGAGAUAUUUUACUGGGGGAAAGACUCAACGUUCUGGCAAUUAGUGGACCAUAUCCAGAUUGACAACACAGAACGACUGAUCCUAAGGAUGGUGGACAAUGUCAGUAAGUGAGAUUUGCAGUUUGGCAAUCCCUCCCACCCUGCUGAGAGCUGAGAUUCAGAGGAUCUGCUUCUGGGGGCCUGGCCCAUCUGUGUCCUGAGUCUUCUCCCUUGCUAAGUACAACUGCGGCUUUCUUGCCCCCAUUUGCCUCUGAUGCUGACCUCACAGGUGGUCCUUCUAAAGACCCCUCCUCCCUCGAACCCCUCUCCUGGGCUCCCAGUGCAGCAUGCACCUCAGGUGGCUCUGACCUGGAGGUGCCUCUGGAGCAGGAAUGGAUGGGGACUCCAUGCCCUAUGGAUCUCUGAGACACCAACACUGGCUAGGAGUUGACCUGGUGCUGGGCAGAGGAUGCUGUGCUCAGUAGCUUGAAGGCACCUUGGGAUAUGCACAGGGAACAUCUGGUGUGCUUCUCCCACAUGUUCAGUUCUUGGCUCCUAGAAGUAAUGCUGACCCUACUUCCCACCAUCAAACUUGUUUUUAACUAAUUAAACUUUACUGCUUUUAUUUAGAUUCUGAGCUGGGCCAGGAUGUCCUUAUCUGCUUUCUAGUGUUGCAGGUGAAAGCUGGCCCCCAAAUAUUACAGAAAUAUUUUGUGAUUUUUUUCUAGACAUUUCCACACUGGAAGGAGUGGCUACUGGUCCAUUUAAACAUCAGGGAACUGGG